rnacentral:piRNA from 1 species
UGGUCCUUCCUGUUCCUAUCCUCA